GAACAUGUCCUUCACAUCCAUAGUUGCCAUCCAGGCGUGAGAAGCCGCUUGAAUUGCUGUCACUGUGGAUGAGAGACUUGGAACUGCUGCAGUGAGAGGAAGAGUUUCCUAAAGUCAAUAGUUAGUCUCCACCUGCCAUCUGGUUUUUGAACUGGCCAGACAGGUGAAUUGUAAGGAGAAUGAGUUCUGGUGAUAAUCUUUCUUUUCUCCAGGUCAGCUAUCACUUCAGUAAUGCCUUGCCUAGCUGCUGCUGGUAAUGGAUAUUGUGCAACACAGGCACGUGGUCUCCGUCACUUCGUAGGCGGCAGCUCAGAAGAUGGCGCUGGUCAGGAAGACAGCUCGGAAGAUGGCGCCAGUUGGGAAAAAUGGCGGCUGCUCGUCCCGGCGGUCGGUUUCGGUCUGAGUUGUGGCGGAGUGGCGGAUGAUCACCUGCGGCGUUAAUGGCGGCGGUGGCGACAUCUGCGGCACUCGGGUAUGCGGCAAAGGAACUGGUGAGGACUGCAAUGGCGGUUCCUGUUGCGGCAGCAGCUGGCAUGGAUGUCGAGGUGCCGCGGAUGGCACUCAACAUCAAUUACCAUAUUAUCAAAUGCGCCUUGAGCCUGAAUUAUGCAUGCUGCUAACAAAAUAAGAUUCUCUUUAUCGACUCCGUCUACUUCCUCUAAAGCUGUAUACAACGUGACUAUCAGAUCUGCCCGUCUGUCUGUUAAUUGUUCCGGGCUAGCAAAAGCGAGCGUGUCCAUGGCUUUCCUUAAAUGUGCAGGCUCAAAAAUAGAUGCCAGUUUAGAAAACAAAUAGUCUAUUGUCGAUGUUGUGAUAGCCGACUCAGCUUCAGCUGUCGCUGACCCUGCUCGCUGCGCCAUUAUGUUACGGAAUGGAGUUUAGGGGAAUUCAUGGGGAAUAACAUGUGAGGCCGAUUUAUAAAGAUGGUUAAAUGAUUUAUUACUAAAACACUAGAAAUCCCUUUCCCCAAACUUAUUUAUAACUAUCCCACGUAAGUUCUUGGUUCGCGGUCGCAGAUUAAAAUAAAGAAUGGCUAAAAUGAAGAGA